ACCUGCAUUCGAAAGUGAUCGCGGCCUUGGCCGUGGCCCGGUCAUCGAUAGUGCAGGGAGAGGAAGGGCGAGAGCGUUCCCGUGUUUGGGGGGGGCUGCGUCCCCCCCAGACCCUGUUGCUGUCGGACA